rnacentral:rRNA from 1 species
GACGAACGCUGGCGGCGUGCCUAAUACAUGCAAGUCGAACGCAGUGGGGACGGGUGAGUAACACGUGGGUAAUCUCCCAUCAGAGGGGAUAACACUUGGAAACAGGUGCUAAACCGAUACUGAUGGAUGUACCCGCGGUGCAUUAGCUAGUUGGUGACGUAACGGCUUACCAAGGCCACGAUGCCUAGCCAACCGGAGAGGGUGAUCGGUCACACUGGGACUGAGACACGGCCCAGACUCCUACGGAAGGAAGAAGUGGGGAAUUUUCGGCAAGGGACGAAAGUCUGACGGAGCAACGCGGCGUGAGGGAAGAAGGUUUUCGGAUCGUAAAACUCUGUGGUUAGAGAGGCGGUACCUAACCAGAAAGCCACGGCUAACUACGUGCCAGCAGCCGCGGUAAUAC